AUUGAACGCUGGCGGCAUGCCUUACACAUGCAAGUCGAACGGCAGCACGGGAGCAAUCCUGGUGGCGAGUGGCGAACGGGUGAGUAAUAUAUCGGAACGUGCACAGUCGAGGGGGAUAACGCAGCGAAAGCUGUGCUAAUACCGCAUACGAUCUACGGAUGAAAGGGGGGGAUCGCAAGAACUCGCGCGAUUGGAGGGGCCGAUAUCAGAUUAGCUAGUUGGUGGGGUAAAGGCCCACCAAGGCGACGAUCUGUAGCUGGUCUGAGAGGACGACCAGCCACACUGGAACUGAGACACGGUCCAGACUCCUACGGGAGGCAGCAGUGGGGAAUUUUGGACAAUGGGCGCAAGCCUGAUCCAGCAAUGCCGCGUGCAGGAUGAAGGCCUUCGGGUUGUAAACUGCUUUUGUACGGAACGAAACGGCCCUUUCUAAUACAGGGGGCUAAUGACGGUACCGUAAGAAUAAGCACCGGCUAACUACGUGCCAGCCGCCGCAUAA
rnacentral:rRNA from 1 species